rnacentral:lncRNA from 1 species
GAUGUACAUGAGGAUUUGAUAUGUCCACUUUUGUUGUCAACCAACACUACGGCUGCACCACUAUUCAAGUUUUUGAAUGAUUACACAUCAAGAAAACAGAUUUGGUCAUCUUGUCAGUGUAUACACAGAUGUAGCAGCUGCCGUGACUCCUCAACAAACUCAAUCUGUCACUUUAGGGGAAAACAACAACUAUGUUCAGGGCAGGACCUGAGAGGAGCUGGCAGCUGGACCAGUAUGUGGGAAGGAUGGUCCAUCCUGGGUCUAAGAAGAUUACCCCAGCAGGUUCAUCUGUGGAGGAUGGUGGGAGACAGCCCAGAUGGGGAAGGGAUUACAUAGGAGGGGCAGCUACCCAGACUGGGAGGCCCAGCUUUCCUGGAAGACAUUCUACCAAAAACAACUGUGAAGUCUAUGAAAAC